GCGAGUUACAACUCUCUAAAACCCUGUGAACGAUACCGAUACCGCUGCCUCGGCGGAUCAGCUCUGCUGCCCGUACGGACGCCCCGCAGACCACAAACUCUGAUUAUUAUUGUACUUCUGAGUUAAUAUCAAUAAGUCA
rnacentral:misc_RNA from 1 species